rnacentral:rRNA from 1 species
GACGAACGCUGGCGGCGUGCUUAACACAUGCAAGUCGAACGGAAAGGCCCCUUCGGGGGUACUCGAGUGGCGAACGGGUGAGUAACACGUGAGUAACCUGCCCUUGACUUCGGGAUAACUUCAGGAAACUGGGGCUAAUACCGGAUAGGAAUCCUUGCUGCAUGGUGGGGGUUGGAAAGCUUCGGCGGUUUUGGAUGGACUCGCGGCUUAUCAGCUUGUUGGUGGGGUAGUGGCUUACCAAGGCUUUGACGGGUAGCCGGCCUGAGAGGGCGACCGGCCACAUUGGGACUGAGAUACGGCCCAGACUCCUACGGGGGGCAGCAGUGGGGAAUAUUGCACAAUGGGCGGAAGCCUGAUGCAGCAACGCCGCGUGCGGGAUGACGGCCUUCGGGUUGUAAGCCGCUUUCAGCAGGGGCGAAGCUUGUGGUGACGGUACCUGCAGAAGAAGCACCGGCUAACUACGUG